GACAGAGGGCUGCAAACCCGCGAGGGCGAGCCAAUCCCAGAAACCCUAUCUCAGUCCGGAUUGGAGUCUGCAACUCGACUCCAUGAAGUCGGAAUCGCUAGUAAUCGCAGAUCAGCAUUGCUGCGGUGAAUACGUUCCCGGGCCUUGUACACACCGCCCGUCACACCAUGGGAGUUUGUUGCACCAGAAGCAGGUAGCUUAACCUUCGGGAGGGCGCUUGCCACGGUGUGGCCGAUGA
rnacentral:rRNA from 1 species